rnacentral:hammerhead_ribozyme from 1 species
AUCCAGCUGACGAGUUCCAAGUAGGACGAAACGUGUGUCCUGGAU